rnacentral:rRNA from 1 species
GAUCCUGGCUCAGGAUGAACGCUAGCUACAGGCUUAACACAUGCAAGUCGAGGGGCAGCAUGGUCUUAGCUUGCUAAGGCCGAUGGCGACCGGCGCACGGGUGAGUAACGCGUAUCCAACCUGCCUUACACUCUUGGACAGCCUUCUGAAAGGGNGAUUAAUACAAGAUGUUAUCAUGAGUAAGCAUUUUCGCAUGAUUAAAGGUUUACCGGUGUAAGAUGGGGAUGCGUUCCA